GGGUUGUGAGGUUAAGCGACUAAGCGUACACGGUGGAUGCCCUGGCAGUCAGAGGCGAUGAAGGACGUGCUAAUCUGCGAUAAGCGUCGGUAAGGUGAUAUGAACCGUUAUAACCGGCGAUUUCCGAAUGGGGAAACCCAGUGUGUUUCGACACACUAUCAUUAACUGAAUCCAUAGGUUAAUGAGGCGAACCGGGGGAACUGAAACAUCUAAGUACCCCGAGGAAAAGAAAUCAACCGAGAUUCCCCCAGUAGCGGCGAGCGAACGGGGAGCAGCCCAGAGCCUGAAUCAGUGUGUGUGUUAGUGGAAGCGUCUGGAAAGGCGCGCGAUACAGGGUGACAGCCCCGUACACAAAAAUGCACAUGCUGUGAGCUCGAUGAGUAGGGCGGGACACGUGGUAUCCUGUCUGAAUAUGGGGGGACCAUCCUCCAAGGCUAAAUACUCCUGACUGACCGAUAGUGAACCAGUACCGUGAGGGAAAGGCGAAAAGAACCCCGGCGAGGGGAGUGAAAAAGAACCUGAAACCGUGUACGUACAAGCAGUGGGAGCACGCUUAGGCGUGUGACUGCGUACCUUUUGUAUAAUGGGUCAGCGACUUAUAUUCUGUAGCAAGGUUAACCGAAUAGGGGAGCCGAAGGGAAACCGAGUCUUAACUGGGCGUUAAGUUGCAGGGUAUAGACCCGAAACCCGGUGAUCUAGCCAUGGGCAGGUUGAAGGUUGGGUAACACUAACUGGAGGACCGAACCGACUAAUGUUGAAAAAUUAGCGGAUGACUUGUGGCUGGGGGUGAAAGGCCAAUCAAACCGGGAGAUAGCUGGUUCUCCCCGAAAGCUAUUUAGGUAGCGCCUCGUGAAUUCAUCUCCGGGGGUAGAGCACUGUUUCGGCAAGGGGGUCAUCCCGACUUACCAACCCGAUGCAAACUGCGAAUACCGGAGAAUGUUAUCACGGGAGACACACGGCGGGUGCUAACGUCCGUCGUGAAGAGGGAAACAACCCAGACCGCCAGCUAAGGUCCCAAAGUCAUGGUUAAGUGGGAAACGAUGUGGGAAGGCCCAGACAGCCAGGAUGUUGGCUUAGAAGCAGCCAUCAUUUAAAGAAAGCGUAAUAGCUCACUGGUCGAGUCGGCCUGCGCGGAAGAUGUAACGGGGCUAAACCAUGCACCGAAGCUGCGGCAGCGACGCUUAUGCGUUGUUGGGUAGGGGAGCGUUCUGUAAGCCUGUGAAGGUGUGCUGUGAGGCAUGCUGGAGGUAUCAGAAGUGCGAAUGCUGACAUAAGUAACGAUAAAGCGGGUGAAAAGCCCGCUCGCCGGAAGACCAAGGGUUCCUGUCCAACGUUAAUCGGGGCAGGGUGAGUCGACCCCUAAGGCGAGGCCGAAAGGCGUAGUCGAUGGGAAACAGGUUAAUAUUCCUGUACUUGGUGUUACUGCGAAGGGGGGACGGAGAAGGCUAUGUUGGCCGGGCGACGGUUGUCCCGGUUUAAGCGUGUAGGCUGGUUUUCCAGGCAAAUCCGGAAAAUCAAGGCUGAGGCGUGAUGACGAGGCACUACGGUGCUGAAGCAACAAAUGCCCUGCUUCCAGGAAAAGCCUCUAAGCAUCAGGUAACAUCAAAUCGUACCCCAAACCGACACAGGUGGUCAGGUAGAGAAUACCAAGGCGCUUGAGAGAACUCGGGUGAAGGAACUAGGCAAAAUGGUGCCGUAACUUCGGGAGAAGGCACGCUGAUAUGUAGGUGAAGUCCCUUGCGGAUGGAGCUGAAAUCAGUCGAAGAUACCAGCUGGCUGCAACUGUUUAUUAAAAACACAGCACUGUGCAAACACGAAAGUGGACGUAUACGGUGUGACGCCUGCCCGGUGCCGGAAGGUUAAUUGAUGGGGUCAGCGCAAGCGAAGCUCUUGAUCGAAGCCCCGGUAAACGGCGGCCGUAACUAUAACGGUCCUAAGGUAGCGAAAUUCCUUGUCGGGUAAGUUCCGACCUGCACGAAUGGCGUAAUGAUGGCCAGGCUGUCUCCACCCGAGACUCAGUGAAAUUGAACUCGCUGUGAAGAUGCAGUGUACCCGCGGCAAGACGGAAAGACCCCGUGAACCUUUACUAUAGCUUGACACUGAACAUUGAGCCUUGAUGUGUAGGAUAGGUGGGAGGCUUUGAAGUGUGGACGCCAGUCUGCAUGGAGCCGACCUUGAAAUACCACCCUUUAAUGUUUGAUGUUCUAACGUUGACCCGUAAUCCGGGUUGCGGACAGUGUCUGGUGGGUAGUUUGACUGGGGCGGUCUCCUCCUAAAGAGUAACGGAGGAGCACGAAGGUUGGCUAAUCCUGGUCGGACAUCAGGAGGUUAGUGCAAUGGCAUAAGCCAGCUUGACUGCGAGCGUGACGGCGCGAGCAGGUGCGAAAGCAGGUCAUAGUGAUCCGGUGGUUCUGAAUGGAAGGGCCAUCGCUCAACGGAUAAAAGGUACUCCGGGGAUAACAGGCUGAUACCGCCCAAGAGUUCAUAUCGACGGCGGUGUUUGGCACCUCGAUGUCGGCUCAUCACAUCCUGGGGCUGAAGUAGGUCCCAAGGGUAUGGCUGUUCGCCAUUUAAAGUGGUACGCGAGCUGGGUUUAGAACGUCGUGAGACAGUUCGGUCCCUAUCUGCCGUGGGCGCUGGAGAACUGAGGGGGGCUGCUCCUAGUACGAGAGGACCGGAGUGGACGCAUCACUGGUGUUCGGGUUGUCAUGCCAAUGGCACUGCCCGGUAGCUAAAUGCGGAAGAGAUAAGUGCUGAAAGCAUCUAAGCACGAAACUUGCCCCGAGAUGAGUUCUCCCUGACCCUUUAAGGGUCCUGAAGGAACGUUGAAGACGACGACGUUGAUAGGCCGGGUGUGUAAGCGCAGCGAUGCGUUGAGCUAACCGGUACUAAUGAACCGUGAGGCUUAACCUUACAACGCCGAAGGUGUUU
rnacentral:rRNA from 1 species